GCCGAGGUGGCGGAAUUGGUAGACGCGCUGGCUUCAGGUGCCAGUGGGCGCAAGCCCGUGCUGGUUCGAAUCCAGUCCUCGGCACCA
rnacentral:tRNA from 1 species